rnacentral:rRNA from 1 species
GACGAACGCUGGCGGCGUGCUUAACACAUGCAAGUCGAACGGAAAGGCCCUGCUUUUGUGGGGUGCUCGAGUUGCGAACGGGUGAGUAACACGUGAGUAACCUGCCCUUGACUUUGGGAUAACUUCAGGAAACUGGGGCUAAUACCGGAUAGGAGCUCCUGCUGCAUGGUGGGUGCUGGAAAGUUUCGGCGGUUGGGGAUGGACUCGCGGCUUAGCUGUUUGUUGGUGGGGUAGUGGCUUAGCCAGGCUAUGACGGGUAGCCGGCCUGAGAGGGUGACCGGCCACAGUGGGACUGAGAUACGGCCCAGACUCAUACGGGAGGCAGGGGUGGGGAAUAGUGCACACUGGGCGGAAGGAUUGUGCAGCAACGCCGCGUCGGGGAUGACGGCCGUCGGGUUGUAAACCGCUUUCGCCUGUGACGAAGCGAGAGUGACGGUAAUGGGUCAAGAAGCACCGGCUAACUACGUG